UCUUCUCCUGUGAAGCUAUGCUGUUGUGAUGAUUGCAGUAUGGGGUUUAGUAUUGCCUUGCUGAAAUACUCCACAGUUUUCCACUCUG